AAGAAGACUAUGCCCAGCAGUGUGAUGUUACAGGCUGAAUCGUAUUUAUAUAUCUACAGAUGUAUUACUGAUUACAAUAUUGCUUUCGUUCCUAAAAUUGAUUUCCAUAUUAGUUCCAUUGCAAAUGCCAUUAUUAUUCUUACAUUCUAUUCGCAUAUCACAGAAAGUGUCAGUAUUUACAAUACAAUUACAACAGCUUUAAAAGUGGAAAAUACGAUAACAAAUAAGAUUUGUUCGUCGCACUGAAAAGAAAUUAAUUUACGUGCAGGCUUUUAUUUAGGAUGAAGAAGGCUUGCCGUUGCUCAGGAAAUGAAGUUAUCUCGAACUCAACCGUUUCCUCAGGAAAAUACUACAUAAAGGAAUAUUUAUAGUAAACCUAGUAUUUGCAUAGCUUAUUAGACCUUAUUCACUAAAUAAAAAACUUAUAUAUAACUAGCUGACCCGACAGACGUUGUCCUAACUAUGAAUAUCGAAUUCGAAUUGGUAUAAUUAAUUAAUAAUAAUAAUAAAAAAAGUGUUUAACAUUCUCUUUGAAGAUAUUUGUAUCAUCCAUUCUGUUAAUUUUAUGUCAAACGUCAUAAUGUUACAUUAAAAAAAUUUAUUUUGUCCAAAGCGCUAAGCUUAGAUUAGAAAUAAUUUUAUAUGAUGGUUAAGUAUUCUUAAACUUUCUAAUUUUCCGCGCAAUUUUCUUAUUUUUUUCUUUCAUAAGAACCGAUUAGCGAAAUCGGUCCAGCCGUUCACCUGUGAUGGAGUGACCAAAGGAAAUAGAUUUUUUAUGAAACUUCGCGCUGGUGAAGUCAUGUUUCAAAUACGUAUAAGUUAAUAUUAAAUGUUAUGUUUACAAA